rnacentral:lncRNA from 1 species
CGGGGCAGUAGUCAGAUAUGGGCGGAACCUCCCCUCUAGAAAGGCGGAGCACCCUUUGAAGAGCGAGAUGGCUUUGAAAGGUUUGUAGCUUUAAUUAUAAGGCAGGAAAGAGUUCUCCAAAGCUAUCUAUUCUGUUGCUCUCAGGAACCAACUACUAGUGAGGUACGAAUGAAGCCUAUUUCCCUCAACAAGUUUAAAACUUUCAAGGGAAAUGUCAGAUUUAUUUCAAAGUACAAAGUUUGUUCUGUCUCUCCUGCUGCAAGCUCAACCUGCAAACUGAAAACUCAAGCUGUG